CGUUAAAUGGCAAACCUAAAUAUAAACGCUAACAAGAACGAAUUAGCAUUAGCUGCCUAAUUGCAGCUUUGUCGGCCUCAGGGCACUCACACCUUGAGAAUCCGGCAUCGACUAUGUGAGAAACGACAUAUACAAAGCUUUGAGUGUAUGGGCGUAUUAUGAAGCUACUGAAGCUGUCAGAGUGUCAGUUCCCGGGCAGCGGAGGGAAUGUCAAUAAACUGACUAUGAUAGUAGAAGAACAGGGGAUUGGUUUUUGGACACGGGUUCAACUCCCGUCUACUCCAC
rnacentral:tmRNA from 1 species